rnacentral:antisense_RNA from 1 species
UGUGGGAGCUGGCUUGCCUGCGAUGCGGGCACCUCGGUGGAUCAGGCAGAUCCGGCUGAUGCGAUCGCAGGCAAGCCAGUUCCCACA